CGCCCCAGGGCAAAAGCAGAACGGCGCCUUUAAGAGCCGCUCCGCUUACCUUUGCUCCGUUCACCCGGCGCCGCGGUGCCCCCUCCUCCGACCUCCCCUUCCUCCCCCGGCGCGCCGCCCGCCCAGCCGGCCGGACACAGCGCGCCGCCCGCGGGACUCACCGCGGGUGUCCUGGGGUCCGCGGCGCGCCGGCUCCAGCCCGCGACGGCCGGGGUGCCGCGGGUCUGGGCGCCGUACCCUGCGCCCUGCUGGGGUCCCUGCCCGGGCUCGGGGCGUCUUCCCCAGCUCCGGAAAGGCCAACUGAGAAUCAUCCAAGAAGCCUUACAGAAUAGCUAGUGCUAGUCCAGCUUUCAUUUUAGAGAAGGAGAAACUGAGACCCAGAAAGGAUGUUGGAUUGGCCCAAAGUCUCACAAGGGGACACGGCUUCGAGCCCUGGUCUGGGAAGAUCCCACAUGCCGCGGAGCAACUGGGCCCGUGAGCCACAAUUACUGAGCCUGCGCGUCCGGAGCCUGUGCUCCGCAACAAGAGAGGCCACGAUAGUGAGAGGCCUGCGCACCGCGAUGAAGAGUGGCCCCCGCUUGCUGCAACUAGAGAAAGCCCUCGCACAGAAAACGAAGACCCAACA